GCUAAAUGCCCUCAUUGUGAAGAACCAAAGCAUCCCUGCCGCCUUGAGACUGACCCAGGAGGGCAGUGACGUCGUCGGCCAGGGAUCCAUGGCCCUCUUAUCAAGCAAGGCAACAGAGGGCCUGUCUCUGGAGAUACCAGCAGCUCUAAAGAGGCCUGUGCUGAGCACAGCAACCAACAGUCCUCUGUGAUGUUCUCCAACCCAUACCACAGCCUUGGUGGUCCCUCCUCCCAAGGACUCACUUCCGGAUGCCACCUCAGCCCAGAAGCCCCCAACUAUCGAGGAGGGGGUCUCCUGCCUUCUAUUCAGUACCGGCCAUUGCUUCCUGACUUUACUUCCUGUUUUGGUGUGUGAGGCUGUGUGUCCCACAGGACUGAGCAACAGAGGGCUCUUCGCCAUUCCCAGGGCUACCUGGGACCACGGUACCUGAAUGGUCGGAAGUUCAGUGCUAAGGCUGGGGGAACGCUGAAUAAACCCCAAGCCGGUUAGGAUGGUUCUUUCUGAGGUGUGUGCAAGGCCCUGUCACACCUGCUGGAGGAGUCAGGGUUCAA